UGGGGAAUUUUGGACAAUGGGCGCAAGCCUGAUCCAGCCAUGCCGCGUGCGGGAAGAAGGCCUUCGGGUUGUAAACCGCUUUUGUCAGGGAAGAAAUCUUCUGAGUUAAUACCUCGGGAGGAUGACGGUACCUGAAGAAUAAGCACCGGCUAACUACGUGCCAGCAGCCGCGGUAAUACGUAGGGUGCAAGCGUUAAUCGGAAUUACUGGGCGUAAAGCGUGCGCAGGCGGUUUUGUAAGACAGAGGUGAAAUCCCCGGGCUCAACCUGGGAACCGCCUUUGUGACUGCAAGGCUUGAGUGCGGCAGAGGGGGAUGGAAUUCCGCGUGUAGCAGUGAAAUGCGUAGAUAUGCGGAGGAACACCGAUGGCGAAGGCAAUCCCCUGGGCCUGCACUGACGCUCAUGCACGAAAGCGUGGGGAGCAAACAGGAUUAGAUACCCUGGUAGUCCACGCCCUAAAACGAUGUCAACUGGUUGUUGGGAAGGUUCCUUCUCAGUAACGUAGCUAACGCGUGAAGUUGACCGCCUGGGGAGUACGGCCGCAAGGUUG
rnacentral:rRNA from 1 species